CGCUGGCGGUAGGCCUAACACAUGCAAGUCGAACGGCAGCACAGUAAGAGCUUGCUCUUAUGGGUGGCGAGUGGCGGACGGGUGAGGAAUACAUCGGAAUCUACCUUUUCGUGGGGGAUAACGUAGGGAAACUUACGCUAAUACCGCAUACGACCUUCGGGUGAAAGCAGGGGACCUUCGGGCCUUGCGCGGAUAGAUGAGCCGAUGUCGGAUUAGCUAGUUGGCGGGGUAAAGGCCCACCAAGGCGACGAUCCGUAGCUGGUCUGAGAGGAUGAUCAGCCACACUGGAACUGAGACACGGUCCAGACUCCUACGGGAGGCAGCAGUGGGGAAUAUUGGACAAUGGGCGCAAGCCUGAUCCAGCCAUACCGCGUGGGUGAAGAAGGCCUUCGGGUUGUAAAGCCCUUUUGUUGGGAAAGAAAAGCAGUCGAUUAAUACUCGGUUGUUCUGACGGUACCCAAAGAAUAAGCACCGGCUAACUUCGUGCCAGCAGCCGCGGUAAUACGAAGGGUGCAAGCGUUACUCGGAAUUACUGGGCGUAAAGCGUGCGUAGGUGGUUGUUUAAGUCUGUUGUGAAAGCCCUGGGCUCAACCUGGGAAUUGCAGUGGAUACUGGGCGACUAGAGUGUGGUAGAGGGUAGUGGAAUUCCCGGUGUAGCAGUGAAAUGCGUAGAGAUCGGGAGGAACAUCCAUGGCGAAGGCAGCUACCUGGACCAACACUGACACUGAGGCACGAAAGCGUGGGGAGCAAACAGGAU
rnacentral:rRNA from 1 species